rnacentral:piRNA from 1 species
UAACCUAGGUGAAAGAGAUGGUUCUGGU